rnacentral:rRNA from 1 species
CACGUAGGGGGCGAGCGUUGUCCGGAUUCAUUGGGCGUAAAGCGCGCGCAGGCGGCUUGGAAAGUCGGGUGUGAAAACUCGGGGCUCAACCCCGGGCGUGCAUCCGAUACUGCCAGGCUUGAGGCAGGUAGGGGAGAUCGGAAUUCCUGGUGUAGCGGUGAAAUGCGCAGAUAUCAGGAGGAACACCGGUGGCGAAGGCGGAUCUCUGGGCCUGUCCUGACGCUGAGGCGCGAAAGCUAGGGGAGCGAACAGG